AGAGCGAACGCUGGCGGCAGGCCUAACACAUGCAAGUCGAACGGACCCUUCGGGGUUAGUGGCGGACGGGUGAGUAACACGUGGGAACGUGCCUUUAGGUUCGGAAUAGCUCCUGGAAACGGGUGGUAAUGCCGAAUGUGCCCUUGGGGGAAAGAUUUAUCGCCUUUAGAGCGGCCCGCGUCUGAUUAGCUUGUUGUGAGUAAUGGCUCACCAAGGCUACGAUCAGUAGCUGGUCUGAGAGGAUGACAGCCACAUUGGGACUGAGACACGGCCCAAAACUCCUACGGGAGGACAGCACGUGGGGAAUCUUAGCGCAAGUGGGCGAAAGCCGUGACGCAGCCAUGGCCGCGUGUA
rnacentral:rRNA from 1 species